AUAUGGAAAGGGCAAUGUGGCGUUAAGGCGUGCCCCUAGAGACAUUCGUCUACUCGAAGUCCAACUCCGAUUAUGGCAUUGGAUUUGUCCCAAAGAGGGUGAAAGGCCCGUACGAGUAGACUUGAAGCAGUCCUGAGUGUCUCUUAGAUGUGCAUGCUUUCGAGUCGGAUUGCUUGAGAAUGCAGUCCAAAGUGGGUGGUAAACUCCAUCCAAGGCUAAAUACUGGCACGAGUCCGAUAGUAGACAAGUACCGUGAGGGAAAGUUGAAAAGUACUCUGAAGAGAGAGUAAAUAGUACGUGAAGCCGCAUGUGUGGAAGCUGGUGGAGUCAAGCUUCAGGCCUUCUAGUUUGUAUCUCAUACACAUUGUUCUUCGGUUACGGGGUGGUCGAGCCUGUAAACGGUUUGCUGGUCUAACGACCGGUCGGAUUGUUCUGGUUCGAAUAGUUUUGGCUACCCUUAUCGCCAGUAUGAGAUAUUUAGCUGGGUGGCCACAGUCAUGGCUGGUAGAGCGCCGGUGUAUGGUCUUCAAACUGUGCUUGGGUGAGUGUCAAGCUUGCCCGGUGCAGGAUGGCAGCAAGUGGUAUGACGCUUCGGUGUCAUUCUGCCGGCUGUGGAUCGUAUUCUGUUCUGCUUUGCUCUCUACCAAUGUGCUCAUUGGCCUGGAUCAUUAUCCAUUGAGAAGGGUCAAUUAUGCCAUGAUAUCGAGGUAGACUUCCACCCGACCCGUCUUGAAACACGGACCAAGGAGUUUAACAGAUGCGCAAGUCAAUGGGCUCUUUCAGAAACCCAGAGGCGAAAUGAAAGUGAAUGGUUGCCUUGUGCAGCUUAAGGUGUGAUACUGGCUUGUUCUUGAAAGGCAGUCAGUCGCAACACCGGCCCGUUUCGAAAUGUGGUCGCCCGGUUCUCGGACUGGGUGCUUCAUGAGGCGGAGCAAGAGCGCAUCUGUUGAGACCCGAAAGAUGGUGAACUAUGCUUGCGUAGGUCGAAGCCAGAGGAAACUUUGGUGGAGGACCGUCGCGGUUUUGACGUGCAAAUCGAUCGUCAAACGUGAGCAUAGGGGCGAAAGACUAAUCGAACCAUCUAGUAGCUGGUUCCCUCCGAAGUUUCCCUCAGGAUAGCUGGCAUUCCGUUCGCUGAUCAGUUUUAUCCGUUAAAGCGAAUGAUUAGAGGUAUUGGGAGCAAAUUGCUCUCAACCUAUCCUCAAACUAUAAAUGGGUAUGAUGUUCAACUCGCUUAAUUGGAGUUGUACAUUCAAUGUGAAUGCCAAGUGGGCCAUUUUUGGUAAGCAGAACUGGCGCUGUGGGAUGCUCCGAACGUUCAGUUAAGGUGCCAAACACCUUCGCUCAUGAGACACCACGAAAGGUGUUAAUGCAUAU
rnacentral:rRNA from 1 species